GUGUCAGCAGCCGCGGUAAGACGAACCGUGCGAACGUUGUUCGGAAUCACUGGGCUUAAAGGGCGCGUAGGCGGUCGAUCAAGUCCGGGGUGAAAUCUUUCGGCUUAACCGGAAAAGUGCCUUGGAUACUGAUCGGCUGGAGGGAGGUAGGGGCCAUGGGAACUUCCGGUGGAGCGGUGAAAUGCGUUGAUAUCGGAAGGAACUCCGGUGGCGAAAGCGCAUGGCUGGACCUCUUCUGACGCUGAGGCGCGAAAGCUAGGGGAGCAAACGGGAUUAGAUACCCCGGUAGUCCUAGCCCUAAACGAUGGGUACUAGGUUGUGGACUUAACAUGGGUUCACAGCCGAAGCAAAAGUGUUAAGUACCCCGCCUGGGGAGUAUGGUCGCAAGGCUGAA
rnacentral:rRNA from 1 species